rnacentral:piRNA from 1 species
UAUAAAUCCCAAUUAUGAUGAUGUCCAAGGUC